ensembl:lncRNA
UCUUUAGUCAUAUGAAGGGCGACGACGGUGAGAAAACGUACUUUUGAAUAUAAAUCUGAAUUUUUUCUAAAUGGGAGUCAUAAGACAUUCUAAUGGCAGCAGUUGACACGGUACAGUGGUGUAGUGGUUAGCACUCUCGCCUCCCAGAGAGAUGCCUCGGGUUCAACUCCACCCAGUGGUGCCUCUGUGUUAGGUGGUGUAGGCUAAGCCUGCAUGGGAUUCACUCCAUACUUGUAAAACUAAUGAAAAACGUUUUUUAAAACUUUCGCAUCUGAAAAGAAUGCCAAAAUAUUUUGCAAAAUGUCAUGAAAUUCUAUCUUUUAGUCAUAUGAAGGGGGACAAUGGUGAGAAAACGUACUUUUGAAUAAAAAUCCGGAUAUUUUCUAAAUUGGAGUCAAUAGACAAUCUAAUUGCAGCAGUUGACACGGUACAGUGGUGUAGUGGUUAGCACUCUCGCCUCCCAGACAGGUGCCUCGGGUUCAACUCCACCCAGUGGCGCCACUGUGUUAGGUGGUGUAGGCUAAGCCUGCAUGGGGUUCACUCCAUAUUUGUAAAAGUAAUGGAAAAAACUUUUUUUAAACUUCCAAGUCUAAAAAAAAUGCCAAAAUAUUUUGCAAAAAGUAAUGAAAUUCUAUCUUUAUUCAUAUGAAGGUGUACGAUGGUGAGAAAACCUACUUUUGAAUAAAAAUCCGAAUUUUUUCUAAAUUGGAUUCAUAAGACAUUCUACCGGCAGCAGUUGACACGGUACAGUGGUGUAGUGGUUAGCACUCUCGCCUCCCAGACAGAUGCCUCGGGUUCAACUCCACCCAGUGGAGCCUCUGUGUUAGGUGGUGUAGGCUAAGCCUGCAUGGGAUUCACUCCAUACUUGUAAAAGUAAUGGAAAAAAGUUUUUUUUAAACUUUAGCAUCUGAAAAGAAUCCCCAAAUAUUUUGCAAAAUGUCAUGAAAUUCUAUCUUUAGUCAUAUGAAGGGGGACAAUGGUGAGAAAACGUACUUUUGAAUAAAAAUCCGGAUAUUUUCUAAAUUGGAGUCAAUAGACAAUCUAAUUGCAGCAGUUGACACGGUACAGUGGUGUAGUGGUUAGCACUCUCGCCUCCCAGACAGGUGCCUCGGGUUCAACUCCACCCAGUGGCGCCACUGUGUUAGAUGGUGUAGGCUAAGCCUGAAUGGGAUUCACUCCAUACUUGUAAAAGUAAUGAAAAAAGUUUUUUUAAACUUC